GGGGAAUUUUGGACAAUGGGCGCAAGCCUGAUCCAGCCAUUCCGCGUGAGUGAAGAAGGCCUUCGGGUUGUAAAGCUCUUUCGCAAGGGAAGAAAACUUAUCCUCUAACAUAGGAUGAGGUUGACGGUACCUUGAUAAGAAGCACCGGCUAACUACGUGCCAGCAGCCGCGGUAAUACGUAGGGUGCGAGCGUUAAUCGGAAUUACUGGGCGUAAAGCGUGCGCAGGCUGUUUUGUAAGUCAGAUGUGAAAUCCCCGAGCUCAACUUGGGAACUGCGUUUGAAACUACAAGACUAGAAUAGGUCAGAGGGGGGUAGAAUUCCACGUGUAGCAGUGAAAUGCGUAGAGAUGUGGAGGAAUAUCAAUGGCGAAGGCAGCCCCCUGGGAUCAUAUUGACGCUCAUGCACGAAAGCGUGGGGAGCAAAC
rnacentral:rRNA from 1 species